rnacentral:rRNA from 1 species
UCCUACGGGAGGCAGCAGUGGGGAAUUUUGCGCAAUGGGCGGAAGCCUGAUGCAGCGACGCCACGUGAGGGAUGACGGCCUUCGGUUGUAAACCUCUUUCAGCAGGGACGAAGCGUAAGUGACGGUACCUGCAGAAGAAGCACCGGCUAACUACGUGCCAGCAGCCGCGGUA